CCCCCCCGUAAAAAAAAAAAACCCCCGGGUUUUUUAAAACCGGGGGGUUAAAAAAAACCGGGGGGGUUUUUUUAAACGGGGGUUUUUAAAAAAAAAACCCCCGGUUUUUUAAACGGGGGGUAAAAAAACCGGGGGUUUAAAAACCCCCGGUUUAAAC
ensembl:scaRNA